GACGAACGCUGGCGGCGUGCUUAACACAUGCAAGUCGAACGGAAAGGCCAGUGCUUGCCCUGGUACUCGAGUGGCGAACGGGUGAGUAACACGUGGGUGAUCUGCCUUGCACUCUGGGAUAAGCUUGGGAAACUGGGUCUAAUACCGGCUAUGAACUGCCGUUAGUGUGGGGGUUGGAGAGCUUUUUCGGUGCAAGAUGAGCUGGCGGCUUAUCAGCUUGUUGGGGGGGUAAUGGCAUACCAAGGCGUCGACGGAUAGCCGGCCUGAGAGGGUGGACGGCCACAUUGGGACUGAGGUACGGCCCAGAGGCCUACGGGAGGCAGCAGUGGGGAAUAUGACACAACGGGCGGAAGCGCGAUAAGACGGCGCUGCGUGGGGGAUGACGGCCUUUGGGUUAAAAACUCCUUUCGGCUGAGACGAAGCGUAAGUGACGGUACCUGAAUAAGAAGCACCGGCUAACUACGUG
rnacentral:rRNA from 1 species